rnacentral:rRNA from 1 species
AUUGAACGCUGGCGGCAGGCCUAACACAUGCAAGUCGAACGAGUGGCGGACGGGUGAGUAAUGUCUGGGAAACUGCCUGAUGGAGGGGGAUAACUACUGGAAACGGUAGCUAAUACCGCAUCCCAUCGGAUGUGCCCCGAUGGGAUUAGCUUGGUGAUGGGUUAACGGCUCACCAAGGCGACGAUCCCUAGCUUGUCUGAGAGGAUGAACAGCCACACAGGAACGGAGACACGGUCCAGACUACUACGGGAGGCAGCAGUGGGGAAUAUUGCACAAUGGGCGCAAGCAUGAUGCAGCCAUGCCGCGUGUAUGAAGAAGGCCUUCGGGUUGUAAAGUACUUGAAGCGGGGAGGCGUUACCCGCAGAAGAAGAACCGGCUAACUCCGUGCCAGCAGCCGCGGUAAUUC